GCAAGCCUCCUGUAGUGCCUCCCUGCUGGCGACACACGGGGACUGAACUGCUCAAGCUGAACUACAGAGGAGGGGGAGGAGAUCUGGCCAUGCACUCGUAGCACGCCGGUGGGUGGACACAACCUUGUGCUCGAGAACCACUCCCCAGCUAUGGGUAAACAGCCCCACUACAUUGUGGGCAGGCUCGCGAGAGACGAAGGCUCCGGGAGUAAACCCAGACAGCAACUCCGGAGUGGGGACCGCUAAUGGAUAUCAUUGAACAUCCUUCCGGCAGCUCCUGCAGCGCAGCUGGUGCAGUAGGUUUCCUUUGGUCUGCACGUUUGAGGCCGAGAGGGGGAUCUUGAUGACUGGGCAUCCUUCCACCCAGGCUUGUGAUGAUGAUCGUCAUCACCCAUCGUCCUUCGAGAGAGACAGAUGCCAACCAUUAACAAGAAGAGACGUCGCCGAUCUGACGGGAACGGAGAGAAAACCAUUCUCCGGGGAUUGUAUGAUUCAGUUUCCUGGAAUUCAUUCUAUUUAAUGGAAAAGGAAAUCGGCACAUCCCAGGCAUUGAGGAUUUCAAUUUCCUUCAUUUCUGCUGCACUAAAUGAUUGACACGUACUCCAAGAACACCAUCAGUUACCCAUGCAAAACAUCUAGUCUGCAGGUUAGCAGAAGGACCCCGACUGAAGGCACACACCCGAUCGCAUGCAAACAGCAGCGACCCGUACUGGGACUGCUAGAGUGAAAGAGAGGCUUCGAGGUGACCAGGACUGCAUAUGAGUGGUCUCACCAACAACCAGUGGAGUUGGAACAUGACAUCCCAUCUCCUGUACUCAAUGUACAGAACGCUGAUGUUGAGCACACCAAGCACCUCCUUCUCCAGACUGUCUCGCUGUGUCACCACUUCCAUGGAACUUGGACCCUGUACUACUGGUCUCUCUGGGGAUGACUGUCCUAGUCACACGUUACACAUGCACACUUGCAUUCAGGCCUGUAUACACACAUCUGUAUGUGUAGACACUCACACAGAUAUUUACACUCAUUCACAGUCCUCACUUCCUCAUACACAACUUCACCCUCAUCUCAUUGUUGGUAACCCACCUCUGACAUCACCCCACACAGAAAUCAAAGGCAAACAAAACUAUGUUUGUCCUUUACCUCUUCUAUUAAUACAAAAGCUGUUAGGAACAGAAGAGAGGCUAUCUGUACAGAAGCCAUCCCUGCCAUGACCCCUUCUGCCCAGAGGUCAGAGACUCAUUUGAACUGAUGGUCAGAGAUGCCACCAUGUUUCCACCAGAACUGCAGCAGAAACACAACAUCUACCAGAUAUUUCCUUAACAACCUCCCCACCGGUUGAAUCUGCAAAUCCUCAUUGUCCCCAGAGAAUUAAGGCAGAGCAGAGUAUCGCCCUGCAGGAGAGUCAGCGGUGGGAGGUGAGAAACAGGAGUGUGAAGAAGAUCAGGAAUGAUCAUUUCAUGUCCUUAAGCCCGAAACAGCAGCCUGCUGUCCAAUCUCGGCCACAUGGGUACAGUUUUGUGUUCUGUGGGGAACAUUGAAUACAGAAACACAGGAGCAGGCUCUUCAGCCCAUCAUGUCUGCACCGACCAUGAUGUCAAUUUAACUAAUCCCAUCAGCCCACAUAUCCUUCCAUUCCCUCCCUAUUCAUAUACCUGUCUGAAUGACUCUUAGAAGAUGUUAUGUAUCAGCUUUUACCACUCUCCUGUCAGCACAUUUCAGGAACCUACCACCUUCUGAGUAAACAGAGGAAUGUCUCACAAAUCUCCUUUAAAAUUUUACUUUCUUACUUUAACCUAUGCCCUCUAUUUUUAGACCUAUCCCUUUUGGGAAAAGGUCUCUGACAUUUAACACUUUUCAUAGUGUUAAAUGAGGUCACUCCCUCUGCUUCGAAUGCUCCAAAGAAAACCAUCAAAGUUUCACCAACAUCUCCUUAUAGCUAAUGCACUCAAAUCCAUGGAACUUCCUGGUGAAUUUAUUCUGCACCCUCUCUGAAGUUUACACAUCCUCCCAAUAGUGUGGUGGUCAGAAUUGUCCAUGUUACGCCAUCUGUGGCCUGACCAAAACAUUUUACAGCUUCAAUAUUAUUUCCAAUUUUUAUACCCAUUAAUUACUCCAAAAAACGAAGGCAGCAUUCCCUCCUUACCACCCCAACACUGAGCUAAGGACUUGCACCACCUGCUAUUUAUUGCAUAAUUUCUUCUUGCAUUUGACCUCCUUUGACAUCUCACACUAGUCAGGAUUAAAUUCAAUCUUUCAUUUCUCUGCGGAAAAUAUUCACUUAUCAUAGAAACACAGAAACAUAGAAAGCCUACAGCCCAAUUCAGGCCCUUGGGCCCACAAAUCAAUGCUGAACAUGUCCUUACUGUAGAAAUUACCUAGGGUUACCCAUAGCCCUCUAUUUUUCUAAGCUCCAUGUACCUAUCCAUGAGUCUCUUAAAAAACUCUAUCGUGAACUGUUGCCGGCAGACCAUUCCAGGCACUCACCAGUCUCUGCAUAACAAACUUGCGCCUGACAUCUUUUCUAUACCCCCUUCCAAGAACCUUAAAGCAAUGCCCUCUUCUGCUAGCAAUUUCAGCCCUGGGGAAAAACCUCACACUAUGCACACAAUCAAUACAUCUCAUCAUCUUAUACAUGUCUAUCAGGUCGCCUCUCAUCCUCCAUCAUUCCAAGGAACAAAGGCCAAGUUCACACAACCAAUUCCAAAAGGCAUGCUCCCCAAUCCAGGCAACAGCCUUGUAAAACUCCUCUGCAUCCUUUCUAUGGUUUCCACAUCCUUCCUGUAGUGAGGUGACCAGAACUGAGCACAGUACUCCAAGUGGGUUCCGACCAGGGUCCGAUACAGCUGCUACAUUACCUCUUGGCUCUUAAACUCAAUCCCACGGCUGAAGAAGGCCAAUGCACCAUAUGCCUUUUUAGCCACAGAGUCAACUUGCCUGGCAGCUUUGAGUGUCCUAUGGACUCGGACGCCAAGAUCCCUCUGAUCCUCCACACUGUCAAGAAUCUUACCAUUAGUACUAUAUUCUGCCUUCAUAUUUGACCUACCGAAAUAAACCACCUUACACUUAUCUGGGUUGAACUCCACCUGCCACUUCUCAGCCCAGUUUUGCAUCCUAUCAAUGUCCCACUGUUACCUCUGACUGCCCUUCACACUAUCUACAACACCUCCAACUUCUGUGUCAUCCGCAAAUUUAUGAACCCAUUCCUUCACUUCCUCAUCUAUGUCAUUUAUAAAAAUGACUAAGAGUCAGGUUCCCGGAACAGUUCCCUGAGGCACUCCACUGGUGUCUGACCUCCAUGCAGAAUAUGACCCGUCUCAAACCACACAUUGCCUUCUGUCGGCAAGCCAAUUCUGGAUCCACAAAGCCAUGUCCCCUUGGAUCCCAUGCCUCCUUACUUUCUCAAUAAGCCUUGCAUGGGGUACCUUAUCAAGGGCCUUGCUGAAAUGCAUAUACACUACAUCUACUGCUCUAUCCUCAUUAAUGUGUUUAGUCACAUCCUCAAAAAAUUCAAUCAGCCUCGUAAGGCAAGACCUGCCUUUGACAAAGCCAUGCUGAGUAUUCCUAUUUAAAUUAGGCCUCUCCAAAUGUUCGUAAAUCCUGCCUCUCAAGAUCUUUUUCAUCAACUUACAAACUACUGAAGUAAGAGUCACUGAUGUAUAAUUUCCUGGGUCAUCUCUACUCCCUUUCUUGAAUAAGGGAACAACAUCCGCAACCCUCCAAUCCUUUGGAACCUCUCCUCUCCCCAUUCAUGAAGAAAUGAUCAUUGUCAGAGACUCAGCAAUCUCCUCCUUCACCUCCCACAGUAGUCUGGGGUACAUCUCGUACAGUCCCGGUGACUUAUCCAACUUGAUGCUUUCCAAAAGCUCCAGCACAUCUUCUUUCUUAAUAUCUACAUGCUCAAGCUUUUCAGUCCACUGUAAGUCAUCCAUGUAAUCACCAAGAUUCUUUUCUGUAGUGAAUACUGAAGCAAAGUAUUCAUUAAGUACCUCUGCUAUCUCUUCUGGUUCCUACACAGUUUUCCACUGUCACACUUGAUUGGUCCUAUUCUCUCAAAUCUUAUCCUCUUGCUCUUCACGUACUUGUGGAAUGCCUUGGGGUUUUCCUUAAUCUUGUCCACUAAGGCCUUCUCAUGUCUCUUUCUGGCUCUCCUAAUUUUGUUCUUAAGCUCCUUCCUACUAGCAUUAUAAACUUCAAGAUUGCUAUCAUUACCUAGUUUUUUGUACCUUUCAUAAUGUUUUCUUUUCUUCUUGACUAGAUUUACAACAGUGUUUCUACACCAUGGUUCCUGUACUUUACUAUCCUUUCCCUGUCUCACUGGAACGUAUCUAUGCAGAACUCCAUGCAAAUAUCCCAUGAGCAUUUGCCACAUUUCUGCCGUACAUUUCCUUGAGAACAUCUUCCCAAUUUAUGCUCCAAGUUCCUGCCUGAUAGCCUCGUAUUUCCCCUUACUCCAAUUAAAUGCUUUCCUAACUUGUCUCUACCUAUUCCUCUCCAAUGCUAUGGUAAAGAGAUAGAAUGGUGAUAACUAUCUCCAAAAUACUCUCUCACACAUAGAUCUGACACCCGACCAGGUUCAUUUCCGAAUACCAGAUCAACUACAGCCUCUCCUCCUGUAGGCUUAUCUACAUAUUGUGUCAUGAAACCUUUCUGAAUACACCUAACUGUUACGAAGGAUGAACAGCUCUGAUGGGCAGAAGGGUGCAGAGUUGCCCAUGUUUUCCCCCCGGGAGAAUCGAAAACUGUUACUGUUGCCAUGCUGCUAAUGAGAGAGAGAGAUGUGAGAGAAAAACAUGAUGGAAUUGGAAUUGGAAUAUCUGCUACAGAUAAGAGAGAGAUACAGAAGGGGGAGUGAGGCUUGUUGACUCACCAUAUUAUGACUUCUGAAAGACAUGGCCUCUGAGAGGAUUGUUUACCUUAUACUAUUCUGUUCAUUAAAAUUCCUCAGUGGACAGCCGGAGUGGGCUGGUUUGAUGGACAAAGCCAUUCAAAGCUGAUUGAUACUUGAGUAGGGAUAAAAGUGAGGUCUGGGGAGACACCCCUCAGACUCACCAGGAGACACACUAUUGAGCACUGCUUGAGUGUUGGAACCCACGAGAAGGUGUGGGGCAUCGGAGACCGCACGAAGGAUCGGUCAGUUUAACUCACAGUGUUAUAGCAGGGCCGGUGGUGGCUUGUGUGUGUGUCCGCCCUUGCCUGGGUGAUGAGUCCACCACAGAAGAACGGUCCAGCAGAAGGACAGAGGGGUCAUACCUGAAUGGCCACAACAACACUUCGAUGGAUCAAGAACGUAAAGGAAGGUUUGCCUGUCUGUAGCCGUUACUGUUCACUCGCUCUCUCUCCAACAAUUACGACACACCAACCAACAUCUACCUCAGCACGAAUGAGCUGAACUGAAUUUUAUAUUCACAUAUGACAAUCCAUUAUCCCCUAGACAUCAAUAGAGCUUGUUUAUUAUUGAUUAUUAUUAUUAUACCCACAAUUUUAGGUUUAUUAUUACUAAUGUGUAUUAUCUAUAUAUUUGCAUUGUUGAUAUUGAUUUGUAUAUUUUACUAAUAAACACUGUUUGAAAAUAGUACCACCAGACUCCAACGGAUACUUCUAUCUUUGCUGGUUAGACACCCAGUUACGGGGUACGUAACAUAACAAACUCCACCCCAUCUAACCCCUUGCUCUCGGGAGAUGCCAAUCAAUAUUUGGGAAAAUAAAAUCUCCCGGCAUGACAACCAUGCUAUUAUUACACCUUUCCAGAAUCUGUCUCCCAAUCUGCUCCUCUAUGUCCCUGUUACUAAUGGGUG